rnacentral:ncRNA from 1 species
GAGGGGUCAUUCGAUACUAUCAAGCUAGAGUGCAACAGGGGAAGGUGGAAUUCCCGGUGUAGUGGUGAAAUGCGUAGAUAUCGGGAGGAACACCAGUGGCGAAGGCGGCCUUCUGGGUUGUUACUGACGCUUAAGCCCGAAAGCGUGGGGAGCAAACAGGAUCAGAUACCCUGGUAGUCCACGCUGUAAACUAUGGACACUGGGUAUGGGGAGUAUCGACCCUCUCCGUGCCGAAGUUAACGCGUUAAGUGUCCCGUCUGGGAACUACGGCCGCAAGGCUAAAACUCAAAGGAAUUGACGGGGGCCCGCACAAGCAGCGGAGCGUGUGGUUUAAUUCGAUGCAAAACGAAGAACCUUACCAAGGCUUGACAUGACGGUAGUAGCGAACCGAAAGGGGAACGACCUGUUGAGUCAGGAACCGCCACAGGUGCUGCAUGGCUGUCGUCAGCUCGUGCCGUGAGGUGUAUGGUUAAGUCCCGCAACGAGCGCAACCCCUAUUGCCAGUUAUACUCUCUGGCGAGACUGCCUCGCAAAACGGGGAGGAAGGUGGGGAUGACGUCAAGUCAGCACGGCCCUUAUGUCUUGGGCUACACACACGCUACAAUGGGUGGUACAAUGGGUAGCAAUGGGGUGACUCGGAGCUAAUCCUAAAAGCCAUCCUCAGUUCAGAUUGCAGGCUGAAACCUGCCUGCAUGAAGGUGGAGUUGCUAGUAACCGCAGGUCAGCAUACUGCGGUGAAUACGUUCUCGGGCCUUGUACACACCGCCCGUCACGUCAUGAAAGUCGGCAACACCUGAAGUCGAUGGGCUAACCCGCAAGGGGGGCAGUCGCCGAAGGUGGGGCUGGUGAUUGGGACGAAGUCGUAACAAGGUAGCCGUAGCGGAAGCUGCGGCUGGAUCACCUCCUUU